rnacentral:rRNA from 1 species
AGUGAACGCUGGCGGUAGGCCUAACACAUGCAAGUCGAACGGCAGCACAGUAAGAGCUUGCUCUUACGGGUGGCGAGUGGUGGACGGGUGAGGAAUACAUCGGAAUCUACUUUUUCGUGGGGGAUAACGUAGGGAAACUUACGCUAAUACCGCAUACGACCUACGGGUGAAAGCAGGGGAUCUUCGGACCUUGCGCGAUUGAAUGAGCCGAUGUCGGAUUAGCUAGUUGGCGGGGUAAAGGCCCACCAAGGCGACGAUCCGUAGCUGGUCUGAGAGGAUGGUCAGCCACACGGGAACUGAGACACGGUCCAGACUCCUACGGGAGGCAGCAGUGGGGAAUAUUGGACAAUGGGCGCAAGCCUGAUCCAGCCAUACCGCGUGGGUGAAGAAGGCCUUCGGGUUGUAAAGCCCUUUUGUUGGGAAAGAAAAGCAGCAGGUUAAUACCCCGCUGUUCUGACGGUACCCAAAGAAUAAGCACCGGCUAACUUCGUG